CAAGGAGACCGAACGAUUGCUGAAAUACUUGCUUGCAAGUAGUUCAGAGGAAAGUCCGAACACUUAGUUGAUGGCCUCAUAUGAGCUAUUAACACUGGUAGCGGGUAAUUCCCGUCAGGAGUAAUCCUAGAGAUGCGAACAGUGACGCCGGACCAGAAAUGGAAAGGCAUCCCCUAUUUAUAGUGGAUGAAUCGGUAUGGUGACAUAUCGGGUGAAACGGCUAAAUUCUUACUUGAGUGCAAUGCCAAAUUUGGUAGGCAGCAAGAGGCAACUGGCAACAGUUGUCCCAGAUAGAUAAUCGUUAGGAAGGCUUGCCUUCCACCAAACAGAAUUCGGCUUAUGAGCCUCCUUGGAAU
rnacentral:RNase_P_RNA from 1 species